rnacentral:rRNA from 1 species
CCUACGGGUGGCAGCAGUGGGGAAUAUUGCACAAUGGUGGAAACCCUGAUGCAGCAACGCCGCGUGGGUGAAGAAGUAUUUCGGUAUGUAAAGCUCUAUCAGCAGGGAAGAGAAUGACGUUACCUGAAUUAGAAUCCCCGGCUCACUACGUGCCAGCCGCCUAGGUAAUACGUAGGGGGCAAGCGUUCUCCGGAUUUCCUGGGUGUAAAGGGAGCGUAGACGGUUGUGCAAGUCUGAAGUGAAAGGCCGCGGCUCAACUACGGAACGGCUUUGGAAACUGGGUAACUGGAGUGCUGGGGAGGUAAGCGGAAUUCCUGGUGUAGCGGUGAAAUGCGUAGAGAUCAGGAGGAACACCGACGGCGAAGGCGGCUUACUGGACAGUAACUGACGUUGAGGCUCGAAAGCGUGGGGAGCAAACAGGAUUAGAUACCCUAGUAGUC